rnacentral:rRNA from 1 species
UACGGGGGGGGGCAAGCGUUGUUCGGAAUUACUGGGCGUAAAGGGCUCGUAGGUGGCCAACUAAGUCAGACGUGAAAUCCCUCAGCUUAACUGGGGAACUGCGUCUGAUACUGGAUGGCUUGAGUUUGGGAGAGGGAUGCGGAAUUCCAGGUGUAGCGGUGAAAUGCGUAGAUAUCUGGAGGAACACCGGUGGCGAAGGCGGGUCUCUGGGCCGAAACUGACGCUGAGGAGCGAAAGCGUGGGGAGCAAACAGG